UACGGAGGGUGCAAGCGUUAUCCGGAUUCACUGGGUUUAAAGGGUGCGUAGGUGGGCAAGUAAGUCAGUGGUGAAAUCUCCGGGCUUAACCCGGAAACUGCCAUUGAUACUAUUUGUCUUGAAUACUGUGGAGGUCAGCGGAAUAUAUCAUGUAGCGGUGAAAUGCUUAGAUAUGACAUAGAACACCAAAUGCGAAGGCAGCUGGCUACACAAAUAUUGACACUGAGGCACGAAAGCGUGGGGAUCAAACAGG
rnacentral:rRNA from 1 species